GACGAACGCUGGCGGCGUGCCUAAUACAUGCAAGUUGAGCGAUGAAGAUUGGUGCUUGCACCAAUUUGAAGAGCAGCGAACGGGUGAGUAACGCGUGGGGAAUCUGCCUUUGAGCGGGGGACAACAUUUGGAAACGAAUGCUAAUACCGCAUAACAACUUUAAACAUAAGUUUUAAGUUUGAAAGAUGCAAUUGCAUCACUCAAAGAUGAUCCCGCGUUGUAUUAGCUAGUUGGUGAGGUAAAGGCUCACCAAGGCGAUGAUACAUAGCCGACCUGAGAGGGUGAUCGGCCAAAUUGGGCCUGAGACACGGCCCAAACUCCUACGGGAGGCAGCAGUAGGGAAUCUUCGGCAAUGGACGAAAGUCUGACCGAGCAACGCCGCGUGAGUGAAGAAGGUUUUCGGAUCGUAAAACUCUGUUGGUAGAGAAGAACGUUGGUGAGAGUGGAAAGCUCAUCAAGUGACGGUAACUACCCAGAAAGGGACGGCUAACUACGUG
rnacentral:rRNA from 1 species